rnacentral:rRNA from 1 species
AGACAGAGGGUGCAAACGUUGUUCGGAAUUACUGGGCGUAAGGCGCGUGUAGGCGGCUUGGUAAGUCAGGUGUGAAAGCCCUCGGCUCAACCGGGGAAGUGCACUUGAAACUACCGAGCUAGAGUCCCGGAGAGGAUGGUGGAAUUCUCGGUGUAGAGGUGAAAUUCGUAGAUAUCGAGAGGAACACCGGUGGCGAAGGCGGCCAUCUGGACGGUGACUGACGCUGAGACGCGAAAGCGUGGGGAGCAAACAGGAUUAGAUACCCUGGUAGUCCACGCCGUAAACGAUGGGUGCUAGGUGUCGCGGGCUUUGACCCCUGCGGUGCCGUAGCCAACGCAUUAAGCACCCCGCCUGGGGAGUACGGCCGCAAGGCUAAA